UACGUAGGGUGCAAGCGUUGUCCGGAAUUAUUGGGCGUAAAGAGCUCGUAGGCGGUUUGUCGCGUCUGCUGUGAAAUCCCGAGGCUCAACCUCGGGUCUGCAGUGGGUACGGGCAGACUAGAGUGCGGUAGGGGAGAUUGGAAUUCCUGGUGUAGCGGUGAAAUGCGCAGAUAUCAGGAGGAACACCGGUGGCGAAGGCGGGUCUCUGGGCCGAUACUGACGCUGAGGAGCGAAAGCGUGGGGAGCGAACAGG
rnacentral:rRNA from 1 species